rnacentral:rRNA from 1 species
GUCUAAGUUUAAGCAACUAAACGGCGAAACUGCGAAUGGCUCAUUAAAUCAGUUAUCGUAUAUUUGAUAGUACCUGCUACAUGGAUAACCGUGGUAAUUCUAGAGCUAAUACAUGCUGAAAAUCCCGACUUCGGAAGGGAUGUAUUUAUUAGAUUAAAAACCAACGCCCCUCGGGGCUCACUGGUGAUUCAUAAUAACUCCUCGAAUCGCACGGCCUUGCGCCGGCGAUGGUUCAUUCAAAUUUCUGCCCUAUCAACUUUCGACGGCUGGGUCUUGGCCAGCCGUGGUGACAACGGGUAACGGAGGGUUAGGGCUUGACCCCGGAGAAGGAGCCUGAGAAACGGCUACUACUUCCAAGGAAGGCAGCAGGCGCGCAAAUUACCCAAUCCCGACUCGGGGAGGUAGUGACAAUAAAUACUGAUACAGGGCUCUUUUGGGUCUUGUAAUUGGAAUGAGUACAAUUUAAAUCCCUUAACGAGGAACAAUUGGAGGGCAAGUCUGGUGCCAGCAGCCGCGGUAAUUCCAGCUCCAAUAGCGUAUAUUAAAGUUGUUGCAGUUAAAAAGCUCGUAGUUGAAACUCGGGCCUGGCUGGCCGGUCUGCCUCACCGCAUGCACUGGUCCGGCCGGGCCUUUCCCUCUGGGGAGCCGCAUGCCCUUCACUGGGUGUGCCGGGGAACCAGGACCUUUACUGUGAAAAAAUUAGAGUGUUCAAAGCAGGCCUAUGCUCGUAUACAUUAGCAUGGAAUAAUAGAAUAGGACGUCGCGGUUCUAUUUUGUUGGUUUCUAGGACCGCCGUAAUGAUUAAUAGGGACAGUCGGGGGCAUCAGUAUUCAAUCGUCAGAGGUGAAAUUCUUGGAUCGAUUGAAGACUAACUACUGCGAAAGCAUUUGCCAAGGAUGUUUUCAUUAAUCAGGAACGAAAGUUAGGGGAUCGAAAACGAUCAGAUACCGUUGUAGUCUUAACCAUAAACUAUGCCGACUAGGGAUCGGGCGAUGUUAUUUCUUGACUCGCUCGGCACCUUACACGAAAGUAAAGUUUUUGGGUUCUGGGGGGAGU